GGGCGUGUAGCUCAAUUGGUAGAGCAGCGGUCUCCAAAGCCGCCGGUUCCAGGUUCGAAUCCUGGCGGGCCCGC
rnacentral:tRNA from 1 species